rnacentral:lncRNA from 1 species
AAUGCUAUUCUUUUGAAUUUUUUGUAUGCAGACUGAAGAGUGUUAAUAAAAACUGAAAAUGUUUUCUGCAAUUUUAUAGUUUUUACUUCUUUUCACCUGUCUCAGUGCAAUGCUUAUUAUUUAUCUUUUUAUAUUCUUACUGUUUUUUCAAUUUCUUCCGUACAGUGCAUAAAUAAUAAUCUGAAGAAGACACGGAAUGCUGCACAUUUAUAUGUAUAGGAAUCAUUUGACAAAACAGAAUGAAAACCAGUUCAUACAUCAGUUUUCUAUAGGCAGAUUUUACAUAAUGUUCCUUCUUUUAUGGACAAAUGCACAAAAGAAAAAUAUAGAUAUGCAAAUGUUAAAGGAAAGUCAAAGAAGAAAUUUUAAUAAAAAUAAUGAUUUAGCAGCAAAGAAUGAAGAGUUGAAUCUAAAAUGAGGCAGAAAAAUGACUUGAAGAGGAAUCCUUACCAAUAACAAGAGAAGAUAAAACUAAGAAAAUGAUUAGGCUUAAAAGAUAAACAUAUGAAACAUAUCUAAACAUAUAUACAAGGUGGUUCAAUAAGUUCGUGGAGCGCCAUCUAUUAGUCAAUAUUAGAUCUAAAACUUUGAC